rnacentral:rRNA from 1 species
GAGUUUGAUCCUGGCUCAGAACGAACGCUGGCGGCGGGCUUAACACAUGCAAGUCGCACGAGAAAGGGGCUUCGGCCCUGAGUAAAGUGGCGGACGGGUGAGUAACACGUGGGUAAUCUGCCCUUCGGCGGGGGACAACAAUCCGAAAGGAUUGCUAAUACCGCAUACGUCGGCGGAGGUUGCGACCUCUGCCGGGAAAGUCGGCCUCUCCAUGGAAGCUGACACCGAAGGAUGAGCCCGCGGCCCAUCAGCUAGUUGGUGAGGUAAAAGCUCACCAAGGCGACGAUCAGUAGCUGGUCUGAGAGGACGACCAGCCACACUGGAACUGAGACACGGUCCAGACUCCUACGGGAGGCAGCAGUGGGGAAUUUUGGACAAUGGGCGAAAGCCUGAUCCAGCCAUUCCGCGUGAGUGAGAAGGCCUUCGGGUUGUAAAGCUCUUUCGCAAGGGAAGAACACUUAGUCUCUAACAUAGACUGAGGUUGACGGUACCUUGAUAAGAAGCACCGGCUAACUACGUGCCAGCAGCCGCGGUAAUACGUAGGGUGCGAGCGUUAAUCGGAAUUACUGGGCGUAAAGCGUGCGCAGGCUGUUUUGUAAGUCAGAUGUGAAAUCCCUGAGCUCAACUUAGGAACUGCGUUUGAAACUACAAGACUAGAAUAUGUCAGAGGGGGGUAGAAUUCCACGUGUAGCAGUGAAAUGCGUAGAGAUGUGGAGGAAUACCAAUGGCGAAGGCAGCCCCCUGGGAUAAUAUUGACGCUCAUGCACGAAAGCGUGGGGAGCAAACAGGAUUAGAUACCCUGGUAGUCCACGCCCUAAACGAUGUCUACUAGUUGUUGGUGGAGUAAAAUCCAUGAGUAACGCAGCUAACGCGUGAAGUAGACCGCCUGGGGAGUACGGUCGCAAGAUUAAAACUCAAAUGAAUUGACGGGGGCCCGCACAAGCGGUGGAUUAUGUGGAUUAAUUCGAUGCAACGCGAAAAACCUUACCUGGCCUUGACAUGUAACGAACUUUCCAGAGAUGGAUUGGUGCUCGAAAGAGAACGUUAACACAGGUGCUGCAUGGCUGUCGUCAGCUCGUGUCGUGAGAUGUUGGGUUAAGUCCCGCAACGAGCGCAACCCUUGCCAUUAAUUGCCAUCAUUUAGUUGGGCACUUUAAUGGGACUGCCGGUGACAAACCGGAGGAAGGUGGGGAUGACGUCAAGUCCUCAUGGCCCUUAUGGCCAGGGCUUCACACGUAAUACAAUGGUCGGUACAGAGGGUUGCCAACCCGCGAGGGGGAGCCAAUCCCAGAAAGCCGAUCGUAGUCCGGAUUGUAGUCUGCAACUCGACUACAUGAAGUCGGAAUCGCUAGUAAUCGCGGAUCAGCAUGUCACGGUGAAUACGUUCCCGGGCAUUGCACACAC